rnacentral:tRNA from 1 species
CACAGCGUAGCUUAAUUACCACAAAGCACCUGGCCUACACCCAGAAGAUUCCAGAAAUAAUGGACGCUUUGA